CUCAAGGCACCUUCACAUUAAGGUCAGUCCAUAUGGCUAACAGUAGAUUUAAUAUUUCUAUAGAAGCAGAAAGAAUGUUAAUGUUUCUGGGGGGUGAACCCAGGGGGACAUGAGGUCCAGGACAAGAGGGUUAUGGUGUGAACCCAGGGGGACAUGAGGUCCAGGACAAGAGGGUUAUGGUGUGAACCCAGGGGGACAUGAGGUCCAGGACUAGAGGGGUAUGGUGAACCCAGGGGGACAUGAGGUCCAGGACUAGAGGGGUAUGGUGUGAACCCAGGGGGACAUGAGGUCCAGGACUAGAGGGGUAUGGUGUGAACCCAGGGGUACAUGAGGUCCAGGACUAGAGGGGUAUGGUGUGAACCCAGGGGGACAUGAGGUCCAGGACUAGAGGGGUAUGGUGUGAACCCAGGGGUACAUGAGGUCCAGGACAUGGGGGAAACUGUUCAUAUAAUUAAAAUUCCAUCAUUUCAGUUAUUUUCUAUUAAUCUCUUCGAUUACUGUGCUUAAAAGCCUAC
ensembl:lncRNA